ensembl:processed_transcript 5530601H04Rik RIKEN cDNA 5530601H04 gene
GGAUGAUGGGAAGCCUGGACUUGUUUAUCGGUUUGUACGGAACUUCACCCGCGGUACAGUACGGCCUGAGAAUUUUGUUCCAGCACCGGUGUGAGGAAAACAUCUGAGCCCAUGAAUUGCCAGACCCUGGAUACCUGAGACACAUCCACUUGCUUCUCAGGUUUGGAGUGCAUAAUGAGGAGAAAUAAACACAGAAAGAUCUCCAGAAAGAAGCCAUGGUAAGAUUCAAGGUUUCACAGUCCAAGCUAAUGCCUGUAGACACUUGACCAAGUGAUCUGAGAAAAUUGGAUUUCUGGCAAAACAAGUGUACCUAGACUCAGGCAAGGUAAGUGUCCAGGUAGGCAGGGAAACAUGAGCUGAGGUUGCAGGGGGAGUUGAGAAUGGUAAAUGGGUUGGCACAUUGCUGUAAUGUAAGGACAGUGUGGACAUUUUUCUGCAUUUCCUGUUUAAAGACACCUUACUACUUGACUUCAGUUGGAAUAUUAAGGGCACCCCAGCAAGCUGUUUGGGUCGCAGACAAUGGCAUUUUUUUGUCCCAUUGUGUUGGAUGGCAGCUUGUAGUUGGCUAGGAUGCAGUUCUUUCUGUAGUCAGCACCUUCCUCUUUUCCAGAUACAGGCUGUAGAGUAAUUUGUCUUCUUUGUUGUAAAUACCAAGAUUUAGGGCUAUAUUUUGCAUAUAAUGUAGGUACAUUUUUUUGAGGACAGACAUUUCUUAUAGUUGGGAAAAGCUGCUUAGAGGAAGAAAGAUGUCAUGCCAUGGUGUGUUUUGAGCCAUAAUCAUUACUGACUGCUUGCAUCCAUUUGUAAUUUAGCAAACACUAACCCCUGCUAAGGGCUUCCUCCAUAUUCCCACAUUCAAAUGACCUGGACAGACUGAUAGCUGAACUCCUUAAAUAUAAGAAACCAAAGCAGUUUAACAACAA